AGUUUAAGGAAAUAAUCUUAAAUGUAUUCUGCCCAGUGAUCUAUUUUAAAUGGCCGCAGUACCUUGACUGUGCUAAGGUAGCAUAAUCAAUUGGCUUCUAAUUAAAGUCUGGAAUGAAAGGAAAAAUGGGGUAAUUCUGUCUUAAGGAAUUUUUUUUGAAUUUAUUUAAAUGAUGAAAAUAUCAUUUUUUAGAAAAAAGACGAGAAGACCCUUAGAGUUUUCAAUUUUUUUUUUGUUGGGGCGACAAGUAAACAAUUAAACUUUACUAGUGUAAUAAAUCGAUUUUUUAUAAGAAUAAUUAAACUACCUUAGGGAUAACAGCAUUAUAUAUUUUAUGAUUGUGACCUCGAUGUUGGACUAGGAACUUUAUGGCUAGCCGUCAAAAAAGAUUUGUUCUGUUCGAACAAUACUAUCCUAC
rnacentral:rRNA from 1 species